ACUAUGGAACUCUCUGCCUGAGGAGGUGGUGAUGGCCAGCUAUUUGAGCCCUUUCCACCGUCAUGAUUUUGAUGCCUCCUGAUAUGUUUUACUCUCACUAUGGACUACAUACAAGUCCACCCGCGACUCAUCUCUGUUAUGAGGUGUAUGAUCAGAGCACACUAAUUGAUUUCGGACACCUGACCAACACUGGGGAGUCCCACGCUGAAGAAGUAUUUCUUGGUGAACGGUUUCGAGAUGCUUGGAAGCAAUGCACUCUUGUAUGGUACAUCUCCUGGAGUCCUUGCGAUCGCUGCCUUCAGAUUUUGCUGAACACGUUCCUUCGCAAUAACCCUCAUGUCAAGUUGCACAUCAUAUUUGCCAAGGUCUACGAUCUCACCUCAAAGACUAUGGUCCGAGAACUUCAUCAAAAAGGAGUGAAUAUCCGUGUAAUGUGUAACUUUGAUUUUCGAUGGUGCUGGAAUCACUUUGUUAAAACUACAGGAUCAUUUAUUUCGUGGCAAAAUUUGAACAGAAAUUAUUACAGGGCAAGUCAGUGGUUGUUGGAUGCAUUAAUUUCUCAUUAAAGGGGUUCUGCAGUUCUUAUUAGGUGAUGAUUUAUUCCCUAGAUAGAUCAUCAACAUCUGAUCGGCGGGGGUCCAGUGAUAUCACGAGUAGUAUCACUGGCCUGGGUGGGGCUAAACCCUAUUCAAGUGAACAGAGAUUAGCCCUGCCCAGGCCAGUGACAUUAUUGGCCUGAGGGAAACAGACAGAAAGUCACGGCGCUCCUGUAGCACUUCUGCCUUCUCAAACAGCUGAUCGGCGGGGUUCCCGGGUUUCGGACCCCCGCCAAUCAGAUGCUGAUGAUCUGUCCAGAGGAUAGAUUAUCAGUUAAAAAGAACUUCAGAACCCUUAUAACUGUCUAAGAUACUGAACCUCUUGAUGCAGAUAAUCCAUCUGCUAUGUUGCUAACAGUUACUUCCGCUCCAAAUGAUAUUCUCAAGUCCCACAGCAAUGAAAGUCCUUUAGACUCGGAAAGCAGGGAAAUGAGACCAAUGGUGAAGGGCCUUCAGUUCAGGAUUUAUUCUACACACAAAAUAAAAAGUGCAUAUCAGAUUAAAAUCAGCAUUCAACUCAAGUUUUGGGAUGUGCCCAACCCCAGUUUUGCUUUUGCUUCUUCCAAAAGAAACACAAGCAAAACUAGAGUUGGGCACAUCCUAAAACUUGAGGGGGUUGAAUUUGUCUUUCGUCAACUGUUUUUCUCUAACGACUUGAGAUCAGCGGGAGGUGAAGUAAUCCUCAGCAACGUAAAGGAUGCAUUAACGGCAUCAAAAGAUUCCAUAUCUUUGGAAGUUCAAUGCAGGAUUGGCAAGUGACUUAAAGGAUAUGUACACUUUUUACUCAUUUUGGGCUUAAAAUAUUUUUUCAAUUGGUCUUCAUUAAAAAUAUUCAGCUGUCACAAAGGGUUAACUGUUUAGUUGUGUGAAUUGUAUUUUCAC